GGCGGACGGGUGAGUAACGCGUACGAAUCUACCUAGUAGUGGGGGACAACUCGGGGAAACUCGAGCUAAUACCGCAUACGCCCUACGGGGGAAAGCGGGGGACCUUCGGGCCUCGUGCUAUUAGAUGAGCGUGCGUAAGAUUAGCUUGUUGGUGAGGUAAUGGCUCACCAAGGCGACGAUCUUUAGCUGGUCUGAGAGGAUGAUCAGCCACACCGGGACUGAGACACGGCCCGGACUCCUACGGGAGGCAGCAGUGGGGAAUAUUGCGCAAUGGGCGAAAGCCUGACGCAGCCAUGCCGCGUGUGUGAAGAAGGCCUUCGGGUUGUAAAGCACUUUCAAUUGGGAGGAAAGGUUCAAGCUUAAUACGCUUGAGCUGUGACGUUACCUUUAGAAGAAGCACCGGCUAACUCCGUGCCAGCAGCCGCGGUAAUACGGAGGGUGCAAGCGUUAAUCGGAAUUACUGGGCGUAAAGCGCGC
rnacentral:rRNA from 1 species